rnacentral:lncRNA from 1 species
GGAAUGUCAUCUUUCAUGAACAAUCAUUCCAUUUUCUCACUCAUACUGAUCUUGAGUUGAAGCAUACAAAUUCAUCUCCAAAUUUUACUUCUCCAUCAUCUAAUCCUGGUGAAUAUCCAUUUCCCAAUUUUCCGUCACAUUCAUCUACCUUCACAUCUCCUGGUAACAACUCGUUACCUUGGACCCAUACACCUUCUCCUUCUCCUGACCAUUCUACUUCCUCUCCUCUUGUCAAUGAUGCUCCUGUCAGUAACUCUCUCCCUCACUGUACAUCAGACAACACCUUUAUUGCACCCACAAUGCCUUUAUCGCCUUCUGUUGAGCCUGUCAUCCGUAGGUCUACCAGAACACGUAUAGCACCUCACUAUUUAGCAGAUUUUCACUGCCAACAGGCUGCCUUAACUCCACCUACUCAAUCCACGGUUCAGGUAUCUAUUUCUCCUUGUACUUGUUCUUUUCCUUUAGAAAAUUAUCUAUCUUAUGAUCACUUUUCCCCUUCUUUUUAAGCCUUUUCUUCUUUUCUCUCUACUGUUGUUGAACCGACUUCUUAUAGCCAAGCAGUGAAAGAUCCGGACUGGUGCACAACUAUGGAUGCAGAAUUAUAUGCCUUAGAACAAAAUAAUACUUGGGUUCUCACUGACUUGCCUCCUGAUAAAGAACCAAUUGACUGCAAGUAUGUAUAUAAGGUGAAAAGAAAUUCAGAUGGCAGUGUGGAGAGACUUAAAGCACGUUUAGUUGCAAAGGGCUAUACACAACAAGAGGGAAUUGACUAUACCAAAACCUUUUCACCUGUUGCAAAGAUGGUAACAGUGAGACGCUUAUUGUCUGUUGCUGCUAUUUGAGGUUGGCAUUUACAUCAAUUUGAUGUAAACAAUGCCUUCCUCCAUGGUGACUUAAAUGAGGAAAUCUACAUGAACAAGCCACUUAGCUAUACCAAAGGAUGUCCUAAUCAAGUCUGCAAAUUACUAAAGAAUCUUUAUGGUUUGAAACAAGCCUUGAGACAAUGGUAUGCCAAACUUACCUCUCCUUUGUUGCAUUUUGGAUUCUCACAAUCUAAAGUUGACUACAGUCUUUUUGUCAAGUCUACUGAUGAUUUUUUUACAGCCCUUUUAGUGUAUGUUGACG